UACGUAGGGGGCAAGCGUUGUCCGGAUUUAUUGGGCGUAAAGAGCGUGUAGGCGGCUGGGUAGGUCCGUUGUGAAAACUCGAGGCUCAACCUCGAGACGCCGAUGGAAACCCUCCAGCUAGAGUCCGGAAGAGGAGAGUGGGAAUUCCUGGUGUAGCGGUGAAAUGCGCAGAUAUCAGGAAGAACACCCGUGGCUAAGGCGGCUCUCUAGUACGGUACUGACGCUGAGACGCGAAAGCGUGGGGAGCGAACAGG
rnacentral:rRNA from 1 species